rnacentral:lncRNA from 1 species
GUUGAUGAUGCCGUAUUAAUUUAAAUUAUCAUAUACUCUAUAACUUAUAAAUAGUAUUAUUGUGCAAUGUUGUGAGAAAUUCACACCACAACGACGGUUAUUUGCAAGCAACAUAUAUACGGACCAAAAUCGCGAGAGUCACAUCGCGACCACAACUCGAAUGAGACUAUUUUUUAAAAUCUUGCAGGCAUCCAUUAGAGUUAAGUAUAACUAUAAUACCUAAAUAAAAUAAAUAACAAUAUAUUCAAAUUCACCACUUCUGUCUCAAGUUGAAUAGCUAUUCUCGACCGUUGUUAGGUCAUUCACAAAUGAUAUCGCAACAUAUUAAUAAUUAAAAAUUAGUGGUUAAUAGACAAAGAUAAUGCCUUUUAAUAUAAAAAUAAUCUUCGCUUUCUCAAUCGCCAAAAUAAAUAGCACGAACAUAUUCAAUCUUUAGUGACCAAUAGCGAUCGGAGACAAUUUUUUUUGUAGUAUUAUCAAAUUAGUAUCCAAAACUUGAGUCUCUAAAUGAUAUUUCUAAUGUUGUGCUUGACUUUAAGAUGAAUGUAAUAAUUAGAUAUGGAAUAUAUAUUAAUUCCGUGUUAAAUUUAAAAUAAAAUGUAAGUUAAGUUAAAGAAAAAUCUCAAUUAUUAAAAUUUUAUAGUUAAUGUAGGGUGAAAACUGACAUAACAAAAUAAUUUUUAAUUUAAAUACUAAAAAUACUAUAAGAUUGUAAUGAAUGUAUGAAAAAUGAAUACUUGAAUUGAUACCUAAAAUUUAUAAAAAGAGAUAGUCUAAGUAAUAUUAAUUGAGACCUUAUUUUAUUUCAUAGCCUUCAUCUUAGAUUAUAAAGUCAUAAAAAUACAAUUCUUGAAAUUAAAUAAGAAAAUAAAAACAAAAGUUAAGUGACAGCACAAUUGAUAUAGUGAAAUUGGCCACUCUCUUGGAUAAUGAUCCUAUAUACUCCCUCUGUUUUUAUAUAAGUUUUUUUGGGAAGAAAAUUUAUAAUAAAAUAUAAAUUUGUUUUGUAAUACUACAAAAUUAUUAAUAUUAUUUUUUAAUUCUGUUCCAUACAGAAUGAUUAUUUUUUUAAGAUGUGUGGAAAAUAAAAAACAAUUUAUAAAAAGCAGAGAUAAUAUAAUAUUAAGAAGAUAUAAACUCUUCUGCCGCUGCUACACAUCUACACCAACUACUGACACACUUUACUGUCUUAGGUUCUUCACACAAAUAUGGAAGACAACCCGAAUCAGUAGAACAUCGAUAGAACACGGCUGUGAGGAUAAGAGAUGAUAAAGUAAUCAAAAUCAUAUUGGUCAAAAUAUUGUGUACAAAUUAAAUAAGAAAGUUUGAAAAACAUAAAAAUGACUUACAUUCAACAACGUUUAUAGAAGCAAAACAUAGAAAAGAUAUGAUAAUUGUCACAUAAACAAACUUUAUAAUUUUAGCCAUAUUUCUUCUCUUUUCCAUGUAAUAAAUGGUUUUAUCAUUUUAUACUUAUAAAGUUCAUCCUCUGUUACAUCAGUAAAAUAUUGUUUUAGCUCUUGCAGAAAUGCAAAAAAACACUUUGUUAAAUUAUUAUUAAAUAUCACUUCAUUAAAUUAUAAUGAUGAUCAAAUGUCCCAUAUGUUGUUUAUUAAUGUAUUAGAUAGAGAUGAUAAUUUGAUUUUAAUGAUUAUUUAUAAACUACUCACAUUAAAUAGAAUAAAGAUUCAUAAAAAUAAAUAUGGAUACAUGUUCACGCAAUUAUCCAAUAAAAUAAAUGGUAUAUAUAUGAGCAUGAAUAAUAUAUAUAUAUAUAUAUAUAUAUAUAUAUAUAUAUAUAUAUAUAUAUAAAAGAUUAAUUGAAAUACAUUUUUAGUAUAAAAGAAUUUUAUACAGUCACUUAAUUAUAACCGUUGGAUGUUGGGACAAGUUUGAUUUUUAUUUUAAAAAUCUAUAAAGUAAUGCAAAUCGAUGAUGGUGAUGAAUCGAUUGCGUAAAACUUUUUACACUGACAGUGCAUAUUAAUUAAUCCAUAUAUAUAUAUAUAUAUAUAAUAUUAUAUAUAAUAUAUAAUAUAUAAAAUUAUUAUAUUUAUAUAUAUAUUUAUAUAUAUAUAUAUAUAUAUAUAUAUAUAAUAUAUAUAUAUAUAUAUAUAUAUAUAUAUAUAUUAUGACCAAACGACAUCAAGGUGUCAAAUUUAAUAAUAUGUCAUCUUUGAUCAUUCUUUACCGCGUAUUCCUAUAAUAAAAUUCACCAUUAGAUUGAAAGCUAUUAUCAUAUAAAUCAUGUUUAUAAAAUUUAACAUCAAUCGAAAAUGAUUUGAUAUGUCAAUAAGAUGCUUGAAAACUAACUUUUAAAAAUUUCAACAAAUUGUUAUCAUUCUCUUUAACAUAUCAAAUUUUAUUUAUUUAUGUUAAAUUUUAUAGACAUGAUCUAUAUGACAAUAGAUUUUAAUCCAACAAUGAAUUUUGUUAUAGGGAUAUCUAGAAAAAAAUAUGAUAAUUGUCACAUAAACAAACUUUAUAAUUUUAGCUAUAUUUCUUUCCUUUUCCAUGUAAUAAAUGGUUUUAUCAUUUUAUAAUUAUAAAGUUCAUCAUUUGUUACAUCAGUAAAAUAUUGUUUUAGCUCUUUCAGAAAUGCAAAAAACACUUUGUUAAAUUAUUAUUAAAUGUCACUUCAUUAAACUAUAAUGAUUAUUAAAUGUCCCAUAUGUUGUUUAUUAAUGUAUUAGAUAGAGAUGAUAAUUUGAUUUUAAUGAUUAUUUAUAGAAAUAAUCACAUUAAAUAGAAUAAAAAUUCAUAAAAAUAAAUAUGGAUACAUGUUCACGAAAUUAUCCAAUAAAAUAAAUGGAUAUAUAUCUUAACAUGAAUAAAUAUAUAUAUAUAUAUCUAAAUAAAAUAAAUUAGGGUUAAGUAUAACUAUAAUACCUAAAUAAAAUAAAUAAUAAUAUAUUUAAAUUCACCACUUCUGUCUCAAGUUGAGUAGCUAUUCUCGACCAUUGUUAGGUCAUUCACAAACGAUAUCGCAACAUAUUAAUAAUUAAAAAUUAGUAGUUAAUAGAAAAAGAUAAUGCCUUUUAAUCUAAAAAUAAUCUUCGCUUUCUCAAUCGCCAAAAUAAAUAGCACAAACAUAUUCAAUCAAUAGUGACCAAUAGCGAUCGGAGACAAAUUUUCUUGUAGUAUUAUCAAAUUAGUAUCCAAAAUUCUAAUGUUGUCCUUGACUUUAAGAUGAAUGUAAUAAUUAGAGAUGGAAUAUAUAUUAAUUCCGUGUUAAAUUAAAAUAAAAUGUAAGUUAAAUUAAAGAAAAAUCUCAAUUAUUAAAAUUUUAUAGUUAAUGUAGGGUGAAAACUGACAUAAAAAAAUAAUUUUCGAUUUAAAUACUAAAGAUAUUAUAAGAUUGUAAUGAAUGUAGGAAAAAUGAAUACUUGAAUUGAUACCUAAAAUUUAUAAAAAGAGAUAGUCUAAGUAAUAUUAAUUGAGACCUUAUUUUAUUUCAUAGCCUUCAUCUUAGAUUAUAAAGUCAUAAAAAUACAAUUCUUGAAUUAAAUAAGAAAAUAAAAACAAAAGUUAAGUGACAGCACAAUUGAUAUAGUGAAAUUGGCCACUCUCUUGGAUAAUGAUCCGAUAUACUCCCUCUGUUUUUAUAUAAGUUUUUUGGAAAGAAAAUUUAUAAUAAAAUAUAAAUUUGUUUUGUAAUACUAAAAAAUUAUUAAUACUAUUUUUUAAUUCUGUUCCAUACAGAAUGAUUAUUUUUUUAAGAUGUGUGAAAAAUAAAAAACAAUUUAUUAAAAGCAGAGAUAAUAUAAUAUUAAGAAGAUAUAAACUCUUCUGCCGCUGCUACACAUCUACACCAUUUUCUGACACACUUUACUGUCUUAGGUUCUUGACACAAAUAUGGAGGACAGCCCGCAUCAUUAGAACAUCGAUAGAACACGGCUGUGAGGAUAAGAGAUGAUAAAGUAAUGAAAAUCAUAUUGGUUAAAAUAUUGUGUACAAAUUAAAUAAGAAAGUUUGAAAAACAUAAAAAUGACUUACAUGCAACGUUAUUAGAAGCAAAAAAUAGAAAAAAUAUUAUAAUUGUCACAUAAACAAACUUUAUGAUUUUGGCCAUAUUUCUUCCCUUUUCCAUGUAAUAAAUGGUUUUACCAUUUUAUAAUUAUAAAGUUCAUCCUUAGUUACAUCAGAAAAAUAUUAUUUUAACUCUUGGAGAUUUGCAAAAAAAAACCCUUCGUUAAAAUUAUUAUUAAAUGUCACUUCAUUAAAUUAUAAUGAUUAUUAAAUUUCCCAUAUGAUUAUUAAUGUAUUGCGUAUAUAUGAUAAUUUGACUCAUCUUUAAUGGUUAUUCAUAAAAUCACUUAUAAUAAAUAUAAUAAAAAUUCGCAAAAAAAAACGAAUACGAGUUCAAGUAAUUAUCCAAU